ensembl:lncRNA
UGGCGCCCGGCGGGGCCGCGCCGAGCGGUACUGAGGCGACAAAAUGGCGGCGGGCGGAGAGCGCGGGAAGGGCCCGCGGCGCCCUGAGGGCCGCUCGUUCCCUUCCCGUCCCCCUCACCGUCCCAUUUUGAAGUGUUUUUUUCCCCUCACAGCGUGAAGAUUUUGGGGUCAACGCUGCUCUUUCCUCCCCCUCCACACGCGCCCUCCCAGGUGGGUAUUUCGAUAGCUUGAUGCCUAAUUUCUCCCCCUCCACUUCUCUCCUCCGCAGGGGUUGCAAUCGCUGUCCUCACCGCGUGGAAAAUGCCCAAUUAAAAAAACAAAAACAAAAAAAAAAAAAAAAAAAAAAAGCAAAACAACGCUAAAAAAGCCCCAAACAGCCGAGGACUGAGGGAAGGAACUGCCUCCUCACGGCCACCGUUCUGAGAUUUAGGGCCGUGCAGGUGCUCUUUAUUCCCACAUGUCUCUAUAUAUCUCCUUAUCCCAGAGAUGGAUUGCAGAACAAAGCCACUCACCUACAACGCUAUGAUCCAAUUACACACAAUUACUCUCACUUUGGCCCGUACGUAUCUUGGAUUUUAUAUAUUUAUUACCUUUGUUUUCCUCCAUUGGCUUUCUACUGUCCUAAGAGCAAGAGGGAAAAAAAAUUACACGCACACACCCAAAAGAAAAAAAAAAAAGACGAAAAAUAAUAGUUAAAAAAGGUAAAAACAAGCAAAAUGCGACCAGCCGCCCAUUUGAUCAGUCCGUGGUGAAGAUUGGUGCCUGAAUGCUUUAUUUGUUCCACAGAGGUGUAGAUUUCCCUUGGGAUGUUGGGGAAAGAUUUCUUAAUUAAAGGAUAAAAAAAUAAAAAGUAAAAAAUAAAGCAGUGAAACAGAACCAAAAAGGAAAGCAAUAUUAAUUAUUUAAAAAAAAGAAAAAAAAAAAAAGAAGAAGGCAGCUGACUCUGCCAGUGCAGUCGGGCAGGCACUGAAUUCAUUGCACCGAAAUGAGGACGGAUGAGCUGAACUGAGUGGCAGGGCUUAGUGCAGCUCCGGGAGGAGGGCUCAGCUCCUUGUCCCACUAUCCAGCGCCGCACACACCACCAUUUGUGUGCUUUUGUGCUUUAUUUCCAGCCCCGCGGGCUGCCCUACGUGAUGCACGGAGCGACGUGCGUGCCCCGCUGCUGUGCAUUCCUCUCCCUUUUAUUGCCUGCUCUAUGGCUCAGCUCGCUUUUUUUUUUCUCCCCCCUCUGCGGGCAGCAGGGUUGCUCUGCUUUCCUCUCCCCAGCUCGGCUGCUGAUUCCAGAAGUUUCUACAGCAAAGGAAAUGCACGGGGGAGGGGAGCACCUACUGCGGAGCUUUGCCGCAGCCGGGCAGGCGUGGAGGAGGAGGAGGAUGCGGAGGAUGCACCACCUCCCUCUCUCUCUUUCUCUUCCCCCCUCCCUCUCUCUUUGGUUCAGGACGCUUUCCAAGCCUCUCCCCCUCGCUACAUUUCCCCAUCCUUGCAGAGGGUGCUGGGAGGUGUUUGCAAGUUGUUUUUUUUCCUUCCCCCCCCCCCCCACGCACACACACACUCCGUUUCCUCCCCCUUUGCUAAAUAAAUUAAAAGCAGAGAUGUCUCCUGAUGGAGAUGGAUGAGGCUGGGCUCACUUGCAUGCACUGUGCCCCAGCUCCGAUCUGCUGCUUAGGGCAGAAGUGACCUUUCCCAGGCAGUGGGAGGGAGCUUCCCCCCACCCUGCUAUGCUGCUGCUUGGAAUUCAUCUUACAUAGCAGCCUCAUUUUUUUUUUUUUAUCCCCCCCUCCAAAGAACAGCUUGCUGCUACAGUGAUUGUUUUUUAUUAUUUUUAUUUAAUUAUUAUUUUCAGCCCAUGUUGCAGCUUCCUUAUGAUCGUUUUGUGUGUGUGUGUGUGUGUGUAUGCUUUGAACUGCAUUUUAAAUUUGCCCAGCUGGAGACAAGUCUCGAUUAGAGCUGGAACAAUAGCUCCAUUUUAUUAAUAAUGGGAAGGAUUUACGAUUCUACAGCACCUUCCUUGGAAGGCUUUCAAAACCAUUUGCAAACUCUCACAAAUGUAAGCUUUCACAGCCCUGCCUGUGAGGUGGGGAAAUGCAGGAUUGUUUGUGUAACUCCCACUCUACAGCAGAUAGCUUCUCUGUCACCAUGACUUCAAUGUGCACAGUCCAAGCAGUCACUUGUGAGCAAGGAGAGCAGGUAUUGGCACCUCCUCAUUAGCCUUCAUCAAUGAGAAUAUUGGCUAUGGUGUUGCGUGAGUGCCACUGGCUGACCAAUGGAGGGGCCCUACCCUGCUAAGCUGGAGCAACACUUUCUGAGUGGUGAUUUCAUUGCCUGGUUGCUGCAGUGAUUUGGAGCACAGCUGUGACGUUAUGCUUUUUCUGGCAAAAAUUUAGCUGAGGGGCCACUGUACCCUGUGGGAAUUGUACUACUUUUCUGUGGCAGUUUGGGAUAACUGAGGGCUUCCUUGGGAGUGUUGGACUUCUACCGCCACACGCUUUGGAUUGAAGAGUUACCAGAACGACAUCUGUGAGGUUUCCAAGCUAAACAAAACCUGAAUUUCUGGUGCAAAAAGCAAGUGAGUGAUAGAAACCUCUGCUCCUCUUCCAGCGGGGGGACACUGCAGCCUUUUAAGCUUUCCUAUUAUGCCAAAGAGGUAAAAAAGCAUAAGCAUGCAUUGUGUUAUGCAGUGCUAUUGGUGAUAUAAAAUGAAAGCCAAAGCUAGCCAAGAAACUGUUCUCCUUUCAAAUACAUCUCCACGCACAAGUACUUUUCUUCUUUGCCUUUCCCUGAAGUGAGAGAGCAAUAAGGGCACAAGCGUGCGCUCAGUCUGCUUCAUUUAGAACACAGUGAAGUGACUUCGGUGCCAACAUGAUGAAUCAAAAGCAUUGAAGAUAGCUGGCUUGCUAUUUAUUUUGCUCUGGGCAUGACAAUCAGAUGUGAUUGGGGAUGUGAAGAAGAGCAGCCUUCAACUCACAGAGUUGCACUGUUUUAAACCCUUGUCCUGUGACUUCUCCAGCGUGAUUUCUGUCAUUCCUGCUGGGCAUUGCACGUGGGCCUUUUCAUGGAGAGGUAACGCCCUGCAGCUGUGUGUUAAACAUGGCAACAUACAGGAUACAGUGAUCUCUCCACUCCCAGGAGCCUGGAAGACUGAAGCCCUCUGCCUAGAGGAUGAAAUGCUUCAUGUUUGGAAAAAAAACUAGCAGGCUUUGUCUGUGACAGCUCCUUUCCUGUGGAUGUCCUUCCAGCCAGGCUGCCCGCAGUGUGACAGCAGUGACCCUGUGUGAGGUUUCUUUGAAGGACCUGGGAGACUGCGUGGCUUUUUCUUGUCCCUCGGAGGUGCUUCCCUGGCAGGGAGGGAGGAAAAUGAUUGGCAGUGCUGUCACAGGAGGCAUGCUUACCUGGCUAGGGGAAAGCUUGGUGUGGAAAAGCCAGCUGGUGCAUGGUUUGGGGAAGGAGAGGUUCCUUUCUCUCCAGAAUGGAAUCCCUUAAGGAAGGUAUAGACAAGCAGUUCCUGCUCUUGGGGCUUCUGGCUGGUUAAAACAAAGAGCUGAGCCCAUUUCCAUGGAGAAAUGUAUAAUAGAGCACGUUGCAGUGCUUUUCCUUGCGUGUGCGUGGCUUGGUCACACGUUUAACUAAUAGAUGGUUUGCAUGCAAGAGGUUAUUGCUUUUUUAUACUUUCAAUCAGUCCAUCUCCAUUGGGCAGAGCAGCUUCACAGCCACCAGCACGGGGGAAACUGAGGCACGGGGCUACAGUGGGAUUACAGGCAGAGCCGGGGAUAAGGCUCAGGUUUGCCGAGGCUCAGACCGACGUGCGUCAGAGGGCUGAUUAAAUGGAGAGAUUUGCAAAGGGAAGUGACCUAUAGCUCCAUGGCCGGGACGGUGUUGCUGGACUCGAUCCUUGUGGGCACCUUCCAACUCAAAGGGCAGUUUGGUCAGGGGAAGGGCUGGGUAAGCACGGCGAGCGCGGCCGACAGGGAGCGAGAUGUGGUGAGCUCCUUCCAUUGCCUUAGCCUGGAGCACAGCCAACCCGCGGGGCUCAUCCAGCACUGAACUUUGGAGUCGUUGCAGAUAAACAGCGCUAUAGGCUAAUAAAAGGCUCUGCCACGCAGGGCCCGGUCUGCCCGCACCGCAAUGACUUUGUUACGUGCUGACUGCAGUGAGGGACGGCGCUGGGUUUGCCUUCUCCUGGCCUUGGAUGGAGAGGAGCGGGCAGAACCUCGAGGCCUUUUGCCCCGCACCCGUUUCUGCACGGCAGCCCUUUACAUUUCACAGCGUGCUCCAUUUUUUUUCCUACUCCUAUUCCUUUUGUAGCAUAGCCCCCCUUUUUUGCAACAGUCCCCCUUUCUUCCUUCGUACCGUAUGUUUUAUUUGCUUAUUUCUUUAUGUGCAAUCCCUUAAUCCAUCACCUUGCAUUGCAGCCCCGCUUUUCGGCAUGCAUCCCUUGCUUUCCACAACCCACCUCGUGCAUUUAUUACUUUCCAUCGCAGCUCCCGUUUCUGGCUCGCACCUCCUCUUUUUUUUUUUUUUUUUUUUUUUGCCGUGCUUCCUUUAUCUAUGACUUCCCAUCCCAGCCCUGUUUGUAUCUGCCAUACAGUCCCUCCGUCACGUCGCGUUACACCGCGCUCUGCCCGCUCCGCUCCCGCAGCCCUCCACCGCUGCGCUCCCCGCGCAUGCGCACUCCCCCUCCC